UAGCAGAAGCAUCCGUUGUUUCCACAUUGAGUUCGCAGUCUAUUCCAGCCAUCUUUUCCCAUCUUAAAUCAUUUUAUAUUGAAGGAUGCUCAAACAUGAAGCAGCUCUUUCCCUUUGACUUAGUACAUGACUUCCAAAACCUAGAGAACCUCAUAGUUCGUGGUUGUGGACAAAUAGAGGAAAUAAUAGGACCAAAAGAAGAGGAAGAGAAUCACAAGGGAAAUGGAACGCAAGCUCCAACAAAGUUCAGCCUUCCCAAAGUAAAGGAGUUAGAAUUGACGUGCUUACCAGAGCUGAAGAGCAUAUGCAGUUCAAAUAGGGAAAUGGUAUGCAACUCUCUUAGGAAAAUUAAAGUAAGGGACUGUACGAAGCUAAAAAGGAUGCCUCUGUAUCUUCCUCUUUUUCAAGAUACACACCAAUCAGCUCCUUCUGCUCAUCCUUUCGAAAGAAUCCGCAUAUGUCCAAAGGAGUGGUGGGAAUCAGUAGAGUGGGACUAUCCGAAUGCUAAGGAGGUUCUGCGACCUUGGUUGAACUCGUAUUAGCGCUGCUGGAAGCCUUUGCUGUUCAAAUCAAAUUCCGGAUCAAGCUAAACAGCGAGUCUUCAUUUGUUGCUUUUAUUUCUAGAAAAUAAUUUGAAGAUAUUUUAUUCUACCAAAAAGAAAACGGGAAGACCUACAAGAAGAGGAUUAUGAUUAGCAAAAUAGAAACCAAAGAGAACAAAAAUAUUACUAGUGUUUAAAACAAAUUUCAAUAAAGCAGGGUCUCAUUUGCUUCUUUGUUUGACCCCGAUGACUAGGCUUGCUCUAGAACCCUUGAGAUUCUCAUUAUGACAUUAAUGAUUUGAAUGAAUGAACAGCCCCUUUUUCUUCUUUAUUUUGUAACAGCAAGCUUUAAGUUGAUAUAAAUAUGUUUUCCAAUGUAGUAUUCUUGUUUGCUUAGAUCAAUGUCAAAAACCUUGCCUCUAAUGCUUCCCUUUCUUCUCCACUUUUUUUUUUUUUUGAAUUCUUUGUGGGGUCUUAUUAAAUACAGGUUGUUUAUGCCAUUCUAAAGCUAGCAAAGCAGUUGGCUUGACAAUCAAAUCUUUGAGAAACAAAUCAACCCAACUCAUCACUGUACCUUCAUUCUUUUGUGGUGGUUCUAUCUUUGAUGUGGUACUUCGUCGGAUGCAUCCUUCUCUUGUGGUUUUAUCUUUAAUAAAUGAACUUCAAUUUGGUUUCAAUGUGAUUGGAUUGUUGAUGUUGUAAUUCAACUUUGUACUUGAUAAUCCUGCUUCUAGUUUGCAUCAUUUUUUACCAUGUGGUUGUGUUUCCUGUGGCUUAAUUGUCUCAUUUAAUCUUGGAACUUGCACAUUUAUAAAUAUAUUGAACCAUCCCACAGGUAUAUACCACUUCCUGAAAUGGUGUUUUAUUUAGGUGGCCUUUUUGCUAUUGUGAACCAUCCCAAUGCUAAGCAGGAUCUGCUACCUUACUUGGUAAUGCUAUAGCGCUACUGAAAGGCUUUAUCCAAAACUCUAUCUAUUCCUUGCAUCUGAUGGUGGGUUAAUGUUUAGACAUAAUCUAGAUUUGGAUUUGAUUAAAUGAGCGUUUAUCUAGAUUUGGAUUUGAUUAAAUGAGCAUUUAUCUAGAUUUUUCAAAUUAAAUUGAUUUGGUUUCAGAAUUAGAAUAAAAAGCUAGUUUUGAAAUUUAUUUUAUUUAAGUUGGAAUGUAUUUUAUUUUGAGUCUAAUUUAAUUAAUAAAAUAAUUUUAAUUUAAUAUAUUAAGUCAAGAUUUUUAGUUGAUUAAGCAAUUUAUUAGUGAUUAAUGGAACUAGUUCAAAAAUUUAUCUUAACUGAAAUAAUUACAUUAAAAAAAAUUAAAAUAUCAUAGAGUGAACAUGAUAUAGUUUACUCUUUUUCAUCCUACUUAUGAGUCUUCUUGAAUAGUUUCAUUAUCAUCACAAUUUGCAUUCAUGUAGUUAUAUAACUCUACUUUUAGUUAUCCAUAAUUAAUUUUUUAAAUAUAUAUAUAACAAUGAAAAGUUGAGAAAUUUAAAAAAAAAAAACUUUUUGUUGAGGCUAUAGAUCAAAUGGUUAUAUUUGUUAAAUGACUACUCCAACCGUUAAAACUAUCUUUGUGAAAAAAAAUAAGCUUGAUCAAGAUUGUAUACAAGAGCUAGAAUUGAAUUACUCAAAUAAUUUAAAUUGUUUUAAAAAAAUUAAUCAACUUUAAUAAUUUCUUUUGAGAUUAAAAAACUUUAAUCAAUUUUUUAAAAAAUUAAAUUUUAUCCAUCCCUAAUCUUUUAAAUAUAAAGAAAGACUCUAAACAGAGUUUUUUUUAUUAAAAAAAAUUAUAAGAUGAUAGAUAGCUACUUAUCAUUAAAUGUAGAAAAUAUUAAAUUACUUUUAUUUUAUUAAAAAAUUAAAAUAAAUUAUUUUUUAAAAUGAAAUAAUCAAAUUACCCUAUGUAUCUUUUAUCCAAAACAAUCUACAAUAAUAUAAAAUAUUAUAUUAAUAAAAUUAAAAUUAAUAAAACAAAUAAUCUUUUAAAAUCAAUAUUUACUUUUGUUAAACAAUAUAAUUAUAUUCGAUACUUAUAUUUAUCAAAUAAUUUUUAAUAUAAAUUUAAAACUUAUAAAAUUUAAGGGUAAAAAUUCAAUAGUUAAAUUUUUAAUAAUUAAAAUUUUAAUUUAUCAUUAGAUAAUGUAAUAAACAACAAUAAUAUAUAAAUAAUGAAAGUCAAAUAUUACGCUCAUUGUCUUCCAUUAAAGAAAAGUUACACUCACGGUUUUUCAGUGAUAUUUCAGAUUUAUUUUUUAAUUAGUUUUUUAAUAAUACAAUUUUUUUUAUCGUAAUCAAGAUAUCCACAGUUGACAGCAGUUAUUAAUCUCUUUGCCGCAGGUAAGCAAUGUAUUUUUAACUACAAUAAUUAGUAUAUUCGUUAUUUAAAUUAUUGAAGAUAAUUAAAUUAUAUUAUCUUAUUUAAAAAAUCAAACUUAUAAUAAUAAAAAAUUUAAAUGAUAAUUAAAGCAUUUGUAUUAUAUUUAAUGUAGAAUAUAAUUUUACUUCAUUUAAUUUAUACAGAACAACAUUACUAAAAAUAAUAAUAUAAUUAACAUAUAAAAAUUAUUUUGUCAUUCAAAUGCAGUGCUAAUAAAAAAAUUCUUAAUAAUUAUUAAAAAUUGUAAAAAUUAUAAUAAAAAAGUAAUAUAUCAUAGGGGUCAUAUAUAAAAUCAUUUAAUAAAAAAAUUUAAUCUUCACAAAAUUCCAAUCUAUCCCAAAUAAAGUCAUAAUAAUAAUAAUAAUAAUAAUAAUAAUAAUAAUAAUAAUAAUAAUAAUAAUAAUAAUAAUAAAAAGCUUGGCUCAUACAACACACAAGUCGAGUAAAUCUAAAAAACCUUUAAGAAAAGAAGGCACAGAAAGAAACCCUAGAAACCAAGAGUGCUAUCCUUGGGAUCGCAGCGGUAACAGUGGCUGCUGCGGCUUGGGAUGAUGGAGAGUGGUGGUAACGAUGGGUUGGGAGGAGACGAGAUCUCCCUAUUAACAGAGGAGCUUAUUCAACUUUCGGUAAAGAAUUCGAUGGUGGAACCAAACGGGACUUUUUCUCUAAUAUGCUCUAUAUGGACUAAGAAAUCUUAUAAUCAGGAGAGCUUCAAAGCACAGAUAAGGAGUAUUUGGAAAACAAAGAAGAAAUUCGAGAUUUAAGGGGUAGGACAAAAUCUCUUUACGAUAUCGUUUGAAUUAGAAGAGGAUAUAGAGACGGUCUUGGAAGGUCAACCAUGGUUGUUUAGGAAGCAACUAAUCCUCUUUGAUCGAUUGAGUAAAGCAAUGGCGAGAGAUCAAAUUAGGCUUGUUUCAUCUCCGUUUUGGAUUAAAAUCGGGCCUUGCUUACCAGAGUUUGACAAAAAAGAUCUGCUACAUGUUGUAGGUGUUACUUUUGGAGGGGUGCUCAGAUCUGAAAUACUGGGUGAGUUUUGCCGUCUUAGAGUGAAAUUAAAUGUGCAGAGAUCCCUUCGUAGGGUAUUUUUGUUUCAAUAGGGAAUGGAAAUAAGUUUUGGAUUCCAUUCAAAUAUGAAAAGCUGUCGACUUUCUGCUUUGGUGUGGAAUGAUGGGCCAUAGUCUUCAUGAUUGUACAGAAAUCGCACCUGCAGAGAAAAAUAGAAUUAGAGAGGAUUCACCUUUUUCUUUAGCUUUAAAAGCAGAAUUAAAUCUGGUUGAAAGGGAGAGUCUAAAGCUAAAUGCCCUAGCAAAGAAAAUACAAGCACAAUGUUCGUAUGUUGGACAAUCUACAAAAAAACAGGAAAAGCCUUUAUAUAAGGAACAAAGUAGUGGUAUGAUAAGAGAACUACAAGAUGAUGCUUGGUUGACAACAAAAGCAUCAGAUUUAGAGAUACAAAAGGAGGAAGGAAGCAACGAAGGGAACAAUGAAGAUAACCACGCCAAUAGAUCGACUUCAGCUAGGAAAACCAGUUGGAAACGGAUGAAAUUAAUAUGAGUAAUGAGGAAUAAUGAAAUAGAACGCCAAGUGCAUAAAAGGAAAUUGACAGAGAUCACACAGGAUGAGUACGAAGUAGGAGAGACGCAGGCAGAAAUACAAAAAAUGGCAAGAUAUGGCGGACAGGUUCUAACAAAUGAGACUGAAACUUAUUCGCUAAUGGAAUAUUCUAAUCAGAAUGGAUCGGCGGCUGCCAAUGGGCCAGCCGACCGGACGCAAUGAAAAUCAUAUGCUGGAAUGUCCGUGGAUUGGGGAGUCCACGGGCAGUAAGGAGACUUCGGCUUCUACUGAAGCAAAACAAUCCCCAAAUAGUCUUCUUGAUGGAGACUAAAGUUAGUGAAAAACGUAUGGAGGUAAUUAGGAGGAGGUGUGGAUUUACGAAUCGGCUUGAAGUAGGAGCUGAUGGUACGCGAGGUGGGAUUUGCUUAGCAUGGAGAGAGGAGGUCCAGGUCAAUCUUAAAACCAUGUCAACUAGUCAUAUUGAUGUGUAAAUAAAAUAAGAAGGGGUUCAUAAAGAAUGGAGAUUUAUAGGUUUUUAUGGAUCACCUUACGCACAAAAUAAAAAUGCCUCAUGGGAUCUACUAAGGAACUUGGGGCAGGAACGAGAGUAUCCAUGGUUAGUGAGCGGCGAUUUUAAUGAAAUAGCUUAUUCAUUUGAAAAAAGAGGAGGUCAGCCUAGUGAGGAAAAGAAGAUGGUAGCAUUUCGUGAAGUUCUGGAAGACUGCCAACUUAUUGACGUGGGAUACUCAGGAAUAUGGUAUACAUGGGAAAGGGGAAAUCUACCAGAGACAAACAUCCGGGAAAGAUUGGAUAGAGGUGUUGCGAAUGAAAACUAGAUGAAAUUAUUUCCAACGGGCAAUAUACAUCAUUUAACAUCUUCACUUUCAGAUCAUUGUCCUCUUUUAAUACACACAACUAAUGAAAGUAGACUUAUGAGAAUUCCGUGUUUCAAAUUCGAAGCAUGGUGGACCACAGAUGAAUCAAUCGGAGAAGAAAUUAGGAGAUCAUGGGAGUCAUCAAAUGGAUCGGUGUGUGAGAAGAUUGAACGAUUAUAGAUCAACUUGUCAAAGUGGGCAAAUUCAAUAAAAAAGAAACGGAAUGGGCUGGUGGAUACAAUUACAAAAAAACUUGAAGAUUUAAUGAUGAAGGAACCAGAUGAAGAUACUAUGAUACAGAUUGUUGACGCGAAUUCAUCUGAGUAUGGAGACCGAGAAGGAGGAGAUGUAUUGGGAAUAGAGAGCACGGGCUAACUAGCUGAGGUUAGGGGAUAAGAAUAAAGCGUUCUUUCACAAAUAUGCCUCUAUGAGGAAAAGAACCAACACCAUCAACAGGCUUAAUAAUGAUGAGGGUUAGGGGAUCACUGAAGAAGCAGAAAUAAAUGAAAUAGCCACACAGUACUUUCAGAAGUUAUUCUCAACUAUGGUGUUGGAGAUUUUUCCCACCUUUUAACAGGUAUUAAAAAUAGUAUCUCUCCGGAAACCAACACAACCCUUUUAGAAUAGUUUACGGCAGAAGAGAUUUUUCUUGCAGUAAAGGGAAUGGGUGCUACUAAAGCUCCAGGUCAUGAUGGAUUUCUGGCCCUAUUUUUUCAAAAAUAUUGGGGCAUUGUUGGAAAAGAUAUCGGGAAUUUCUGUUUGGAGGUUUUAAAUAACGGGAAAGGUGUCGAAGAGUUAAAUCUAACAAGGAUCACUCUUAUACCGAAGAACUCAAAUCCUACAAAUCUGGCUAAUUUUGGACCAAUUAGUUUAUGCACUGUUAUUUAUAAAAUAAUUGCCAAAGCCAUUGCCAAUCGUCUUCAAGGAGUUAUCGGAAGUUGCAUUGAUAGUGCCCAGAGUGCUUUUGUCCCAGGAAGGCUUAUUUCGGAUAAUGUUUUGAUUGCACAUGAGCUUUUACAUGCACUCCGACAAAAAAGGCAGGGGAAAAAAGGAUUCAUGAUGAUUAAAUUGGACAUGAGUAAAGCCUACGAUAGAGUCGAAUGGAUUUUCUUGAAGGAAGUCAUGAUUCGGUUGGGUUUUGCGAAGGAAUGGGUGUCAUUAAUCAUGAGAUGUAUUUCUACAGUCUCUUAUGUUCUGACCACAAAUGGGAGAGAUGGAAGAAUUUUUAAACCUACCAGAGGACUCCGGCAAGGUGACCCACUUAGCCCUUUUCUAUUUCUUAUUUGUAGUGAAGGACUAUCGACCUUAAUCAGGAUUGCCACGAGAUAGGGGCUGAUUAAAGGGGUGAGAGCUAGUAGAAGAGGUCUGACAAUUUCACACUUUUUAUUUGCAGAUGACUGCAUUUUGUUUGGUAAAGCUACUGACAACAGCGCAAGGAAUCUAAAAGCUAUUUUACAGGAGUAUGAGUUUUGUUCUGGCCAAUGUGUCAAUUUUAACAAGUCUAUGAUCUUUUUUAGCUCUAAUAUAGAGGAAGGUGGCAAAAAGAGGAUAUUGGUUGAAAUGGGAAUUAGGUGUUCGAAUAAUAUGGAGAAAUAUUUAAGAUUGCCGAACAUGGUUAGAAGAAGGAAAAAAGAAUCUUUUCAGAAUCUUAAAGACAGAAUAAAGCAACGCGGUUUUUAUCUCAAGGAGGUAGAGAGGUCUUCAUUAAAUCCGUAUUACAAGAAUUCCAACUUAUGCCAUGACAUGUUUUCUAUUGCCAAAGUCACUUUGCGGUGAAUUCGACAGUUUAUUUGCUCGAUUUUGGUGGCAAAAAGGUAAAGGUAGGAAAGGGAUUCACUGGUGUCAAUGGGACUAUUUGUGUAGGCCUAAAGAGGAGGGUGGUAUGGGUUUUCGAAAUAUGGCGCAAUUUAACAUAGCAUUACUGGCUAAACAAGGGUGGAGGAUUAUGAAUAAUUAGAACGCCCUCGUUACACAAGUAUUUAAAGCAAAAUAUUUUCCGGAAAAUCAUUUUCUAAACUCCCGGUUAGGAAAUUCAUGUUCUUAUGUGUGGAAAAGCAUUUGGGCAGCCAAAGAUUUAUUAACAAAAGGGCAUUGUUGGAGGGUGGGGACGGGAACUAAUAUAUCUAUUACUGACGCUUGGAUUCGAGAUUCAAUUAACUUUAGAUUAUCAUCAGAAAUUAACUCUUUGCAUGAAUCUAAUGUUGCGGAGUUGAUUGACAGUAAAAAUAGAAGCUGAAAAGUAGAGUUGAUCAAUAAUACCUUUGCGGAAGAAGAUGCUGCAAGAAUCCUCAGAAUCCCUCUGGCACAAACACCGCACAAAGAUUUUCUGUUUUGAGGAGGUGAGAUGUCGGGUGAAUUUAAGGUCAGAAGCGCCUACAAACUAUUACAGAGAUCGAUUGACAAUCCUAGAGCUUACGCUUUACAAACCAUCUACAGAAAUUUCUACAAAAAACUUUGGAGCCUAAAUCUACCAACAAAAAUAAAGGUCACAAUAUGGAGGUUAUCGUGGAACUAUUUGCCUACAAAGGUGAACCUUCAGCAUCGAAAGUUAACAGUUGACCAAAGUUGUCCUCGUUGCGGUGAAGGAGCUGAAACAAUAAAUCAUCUUUUUCGUGAUUGUCCUAUUACAAAUGAGGUAUGGAGAGCAUUAUCAUUUCAGAACAUUAUUAUGAAUCAAUGUGAGGAGUUUAUACAGUGGAUUACCUGGGUGCUAGAGAAGCUUAACCUUUAUCACAGUAGACUCUUCUGUUGUGCACUCUGGGCCAUAUGGGGAGACAGGAACAAAAGAGUACAUGAAGGAAAGGUUAGUACCGGAAAAGGAGUAGCAAACUUUAUCAACAGCUAUAUGGGUGAGAUUACUAGCCUUGAAAGAAGGGAUCAGAAUUUUACCGGGGGAAAAUAAGAUGGAAGAGGCCACAGGGAGGGUUCAUUAAGAUCAAUUUUGACGGGGCCUUCGAUAAAAGCCAGAACCGCUCGGCCUCCAGAGUUGUGGUCAGAGAUUCAGAAGGACAAAUCCUCUUAUCAUGUACAGAAAUCCAUGAAAAUAUCUCAUCGGCAUUCGCUGCAGAAGCAAUUGCCUGCCGGAAAGCAGUCCAAAUAGGAACCGGAAAGGGAUGGCAGUUUCUGAUUUUUGAAGGAGAUUCCCUCGCAGUUAUCAAGAAAUGUAAUAUAAAGGGUCAAGAUAGAUCAAUGAUAGGGACAUACAUUCAUGAUAUCAAACAGCAAAUAUAUGGGCUUGAGAAGAUAAUAUUUCAACAUGCACCAAGAUCGGCAAAUAAUCUAGCACAUAUUAUAGCAACAGAAACGCUAAAGAGAGGAGAAGAAAUAUACCUGGAUAUGGGUGUUCCGGAAUACGCUGAGGAGCAAGCUCGAUACGAUGUGAGAAAUGAACCAGACUAGGAAGUUUUCAGGGGAGGAAGGUUGAAGGACUGGUAAGCCUCAGAACAGGAAUGAAUCGAUUUACUGGGCAUACAUAGAAAAUGGAAUCGUCGAAAUGAAUAGACAUGACAAAGAGAUCAGAGGACAGCAGUUUCUGAUUGGGUAAUGGAUCGGUGCACUUAUUGCCGGUUCUAGAAUCAUCUAUUUUAAUAUUUCGGUUUUUUAAGGCCAUAUGUUUUGGGCCGUGUUUUUAGGUUUUGAUAUCAACUUACUUUGUUAUAGGCUGGUCUUGUUAAGUUUUUGGUUUUUCUCCGUUUGAACAGUAUAUAUUUAUUUGUUUAAUAAAGCCCAAUCCAGAAUUUAUAUAAAAAAAAGUCAUAAUAAUAAAUUUCUUGAUAUUAAUCAAUAAAGUUUAAAUAUAUAUAUAUAUAUUAUCAAAUUAGGAAAACCUACUUGAAAAUCUUGAAAAAUUAAUAUUUAUCUUAUGAAAUUCUAGAGAGAAAAAGAGAAUAAGAAAAAUAUUGGAGAAAGUGAUGAAUAUUAAAAAGAAAAAGAAUAAGGAGUUUUGAGAUUUUGUGUAGGUUGUGAGUGAUAUUAAUUUUUUAUAUAAAUAAAAUAUUUUUAUAACAAACAAUUUUUUUUGAAGUCACUUUGAGUACAGGAUCUUUUAUUGACUUCGCCCACAUAUUAAAAGUAUAAUAUGAAUAAAAAUAUAUAUAAUCUUUCUCUAUUUUAAUUAUUUUAUCUACAUAAUGUGAUUUAUUUAAAAUAUAAAUAGUAUAAUAUUUUAAUUGAUUAAGUUUUAAUUCGAUCGGUAUAAGUAUUAUUAUCAAUGCAAUAACACAAUGGUUUGAGUGCCCAUCCUUAAUUUUUUAUAUAUAAAAGAUUUAAUUUAUAAUUUCAACUAAAUUGAACCCAAACAAGCAUAAUCUCUUCAUGGUUUAUUCAAUUUUAUUAUCUUUAAAUUUGAGAUCUAGUCUUUUGAAUUUAAAUAAAACAUAAUUUAUCCUCUACUUUUAUAAUAUUAUUUGUUAGUCUAAAUAAUUAAUAUCCAUUAAUUAUUUAAACUAAAAUGCUAAUUUAAUUAUUUCUCAAAAACAUUGUAUCACACAUGAUCAGUUGGAAGUGUGUUUUAAGAAAAAAUCUACUUCAAUUAAUUAGUUAUUUGAAUUAGCAUAUGAUAUUAUAAAAAUAGAGGAACAAAUUAUGUUACAUUAAAAAGUAGAUGGAUUAAUUUUUAAAUUUGAGUAUAAUAGAAGAACCAAAAUUAACUUUGACUUGUCUAUUAAUAUAAUAGGGUAAAAUACACCACAGAUCACAUAUUUAUUGCUCUAUUUCUUUUUUGGUCACUCAACUAUCAUUUUUUUAAUUUGAUCAUUUAACUAUUGCACUUUUUCUUUUUUGGUCACCUAACUAUCAUUUUUUUAAAAUUUGGUCAUACAACUAAUUGAAAUUAUUUUUGUUUGUCCAUUUUUAUUAAGUGUCGUUAAAUAUUUGACGAAAAAAUGACGUGACGGUUAAAAAAUUGGUAUAACAAUAAAUUUAACUCCAACUUUAAUAUAUUAUAUUGAAUUAUUAUAUCAAUUUUAAUUUCAUGGCACUUGACAAAAAUAUACCCAAAAAAAUCUAAUUUAAUUAAAUGAAAAAAAGAACCAAUAAUGUAGUUUACCUAUAUAAUUAUAAGAUGUAGGCCGACGCUAACGGCCUAUAAUGUUUUACCACGAGGGAAUGUAAAAUUCCGAGACUGCCCUGCAAUCAUUUAAGCAAGUCAACAGAAGUCAAGCUGAUCUGCUUUUGGCUGCUGAAAUACCGGUAUAUUUCUCAUCAUUUAGGCAAACCAUUCCAGAGUUAAUAUUAAAGAAAAAAACAGCAGACAAGGUGAAGCAACGCCAAGGUAGCAUUUUCCACAGUAGCUAAGUAUAUUUAUUUGUUAACUCUGAAUCAAUAUCUGAUUUGAAUCGCUUUUCUGUGGAGUAGGUUACUCGCAACAAAUUCGUAUAAUCAGACGCUUUUCUCGGUUGCUUGAUCUGAGUGUAAUAGUUCAGGUAAGCUUUUCUUUCAUUUUAAAAGAAUGAAGACGAUGGGUGUGGGUUUGAGAAUAAUCUGAUUUCUUCUUUGUUUUGGAGGAAUUUAAAAAAUCUGACUUCCCAGUUUCGCAACAAUCUUACUUUCUAUAUAUAUAUUUUUUUAAUCUUAAAGUCAUUGAACAGUAGAAUAUAAUAUGUAUAAUUAGAGUAGAUUAUAUAGAUCCAUAAUAAUUAGACCGACCUCCUCUGGUUUCUCCGGUCUGUGUUUUCGGGCCCCUUAGACUUUUGUCUAGCAUCUUCUUUUUUGUACAACUUUUGAGAACUGUCGUCCACUGUUUGUAACUUUUUUAUAAUGAAAGUUUCUUUCAUAAAAUAAUCAUAAUUAGAAAAACGUAUUAUUUGAUUGGAUGAGAGAAAAAGACAAUAUAGGCAAGCUACUCAUAUUUUUUUUUUAAAUCAUUUCAAAAAAAAAUUGUUAAUUUAGUUAUCUGAACAUAAAAAUUAAUUAAAUUGACCAAUAAGUGGUAAUAAAAGAUUAACUGUACAUUUUUACCUUAAUCACUCUAAAAUUUAGAUAAAUUAUUCUUUAGUCACUGCAUAUAAAAAACUAUUGCUACAUUGGUUUACCCAAUAUAUAUUUAAAAGUGGAUAACAUUUUUACCUUACAUAAAGAUAAAUUCCUAUUAUCACAGCUUUUCUCGUUUGCCUCAUCUUUGUAUAAUAUUUCAGGUAAGCUUUUCUUUUAUUUUCAAAGAUGAAAGACUAUGGGUGUGGAUUUGAGAAUCAUCUGAUUUCUUCUUUGUUUAAGCUAUGGUUUUGGAGGAAUUUCAAAUCUGACUUCCAGAUUUGAGUUUCGCAACAAUUUCUAGUUUUUUCUUUUUUAAAUUAAUUAUUCCGUCAUUAAAUGUAACGAAAGACUAACAACGUAUUUUCACAUUCAUCACACUAAAACAAGGGGUUGUUACUGCUUUGGUUUAACCAAAUAUAUAUAUUUAAAAGUGGAUAACAUUUGAUCUUAUAUUUUUGUAUACAUUAGUUUUGUAAUUUGAUAACUUUUCUCAAUUUUGAUAAUUGCAAUGAUAUUAAACUAUAGUAUUCUACCAUGUUAUCACCUAAAUCUUUUUUUAUAAAAUUUAUACUUUUUAGAUUAAUGUGACAUAAUAUUAGAGUGUCAUAUUAUCACAUAAAUCAAAAUUGAGAAAUUUGUCCAGUUUCAAGAUUAUUUUGAAAAAGGAGUAUAGAGACUAAGUUAGAAAGUUGUUAAAUUCAAAGAUUACAUGUUGCUUAAUCCUAUUUAAAAAGAAACUGCAAUCAUUUAUAACUUUUUUUUAAAUUACUUAAUAUAACUCAAUUUAGGAUGUGUUUGAUAAACCAUUUAAAAUGAAAAUUUUAAAUAUUCAAAGUCUAUUUGGACAUCACAAAAUAUUUAGUUGGAUAUUUAAUUUUAAAAAAUUGGGUGGCUAAAAAAAAUUAAUAGUUGAUUGACCAAGAUAUAUUAAACUAAAUAGUUAAAUGAAUAUUCAUAAAAUAUUUAUUAAUUUAAAUUUAAUAUAUUUCUGAUAAGCAAAUUAUAAAAAUAUUCACUAUUCGUCUAACCAAAAUAAUUUACGUGUUUAACAGAAAAUUAUAUUUUAAUUUAAAAUUUAAUAAGAAAAGCAAUUUAUUAAUGAAAAAGGAAAUGACAAAAAAAUUUAAGCUAUAAUAAUAAGAAAAUCAUAUUUUAACAAUAAAACACUAAAAUAAAUUCACAAAAAAUAAUAAUAAAAGGGAAAAGCUAAUUAGACAUUUUAGAAAGUUAAAAUGUUUUUAGUUCAAUCAAAGUACUUUGCACGUUGUAUCGAAAGUAUAUUAUUUAAUUUUUAUAAGAAAUUUUUUUUUAAAUAAAUAAAAAGAACAGAAGGAAAAAAUAAAUAUAAUAAGAAAAAUUAUUUUACAGGAAAAAAAAUAAUUCAUAAAAAUUAUACGAAAAGGGAAAAUCAAUUAAAUACUUUAUAAUAUUAUUUUAAAAGAACUCAUAAAAAAUUAAAUAUUUUAAAAGGGUAAAAAUGUUUUAUUUAAAUAUUUUAUAUACGUAUUUUAGAAGAUUUUAUAUAUUUUGGAAGAAUAUUUUAUUUUUUAUUACUUUUUGGAGCUGACAAUUUAUAUAUUGAUAGAUAUAUAAUCAUACAUUAAAAUCUAUCCUUCAUAAAGAAGUAAGUGUGACUAAUGGACGUAGUUAUUAUUACUACAUUGCAGAUUAUUUGGUGAAUUAUGGAACUUGUAGGACCAAUUUGUGAAGUGCUAAAGUGCUUAGGAGAUCCAACAUGUACAUACAUAGAGCAUCACAGAAAACUUAAAGACAGGAUGAAUGAUCUUCAAGAGAGACUAGUCCGACUAAAUGCUAUGAAGAGAGAUGUGGAGCGGAGAAUAAACGCAGAGCUUCGAUGGGGAAGACUUUUAAGGGAAGAAGUAGAGAAGUGGCUUCUAGAUGUGCAAACCGUCAAUGAUACAAUGCGGGACAUUGAUGAACGAAUGCAAAAUGUGUCUUGUUUUUCACGUGCACGCCUCGGAAAACGUGUUGCUCAAACAGUUGAACAAGUGGAGGGAAUUAUUGAACGAGGUAGGUUCCCUGAAGCUCUAGUAAUUGAUAAUCCAUCUACUGCUGGAGUGCCUUUCCAAUCGGAACAUUUAGAAGGUGAAACCAUGGUGAUAGAAGACAUUUGGAACUAUUUAAUGAGUGAUGAAAUUGGAAUGAUUGGAGUAUGUGGGAUGGGUGGGAUCGGGAAAACCACUAUCGUGAAGCACAUAUACUAUCAACUAUUGAAGGAGACUAAACCUUUGUUUGAUAAAAUCAUUUGGGUCACUGUUUCAAAGGAGCUCAGCAUUCCCAAAUUACAGCAAAACCUUGCAAAUGCUAUGAAUAUUGUAGGUCUUCCAGAAUCUGAACCAGAGCGUGUAGCAGUAUUAAUGGAUAAACUGGGACAAAGAAGAUAUGUAUUGAUCUUAGAUGAUGUUUGGAAAGAGUUCUCUCUGGCAGACGUAGGGAUUCCUAAACCAACCUCCAGCAAUGGGAGUAAGUUGGUAUUAACCAGUAGAUUGAUUGAGGUUUGUAGAUCAAUGGACUGUAAGGUAGUCAAAGUGCCUCCACUCUCCAAUGAGGAGUCCAUGAAUUUAUUCUUGAAGCAUGCUGGACGUGGGGUUCUAAAGGUUCCAUCUUUGAAAGAAAUUUUGGACAACGUUGUUAAGGAGUGUGAUGGGUUACCCCUUGCCAUUGCUGUAAUAGCUGGGAGCAUGAAGGGAAUAUAUAACGUUGAAGAAUGGAGGAACGCUUUAAGAGAGUUACGAGACCAUGUAAGAAGCGUGAAGGACACAGAUGUUGAAAUAUAUGAGCGAUUGAAGUUCAGUUUCGAUCGUUUGGGAGAUUUAAAAAUCCAAAGUUGUUUUCUUUAUUGCUCACUAUAUCCAGAAGACUAUAUAAUUCCAAGGAAGGAAUUAAUAGAAUGCUGGAUAGAUGAGGAAUUUCUUGGAAAUGGGAGUCGACAAGAGUUGCAUGAUAAGGGUCAUACCAUAUUAAAUAGGCUGGAAAAUAAUUGUUUGUUGGAAAAGGUUGGUAGAGAUAUUGUGAAGAUGCAUGAUGUAAUGAGAGAUACAGCAUUGUAUAUCAAAGGUUCUGGCUCCCGUUUUAAGGUACAAUCUGGCAUCGGACUAAAAGAACUACCAAGCAAGCAAGAAUGGGGAGAAGAUCUUGAAAAAGUUUCCUUCAUGGUGAAUAACGUAUCUGAGAUUCCUCCGCACUUGUCACCCAAUUGUGAGGUUCUUUCUACCUUAUUAUUGCAAAAGAAUGAAUCAUUACAAAGGAUUUCAGAAUCGUUCUUUCAACAUAUGCAUAGACUCAGCAUUCUUGAUCUUUCUUAUACCAAUGUCAAGCAACUGCCAACUUCUGUGUCAAACUUGGAAAAGCUCAAAGCAUUGGUGCUUCGUCGAUGCUACAACUUGAGAUAUGUGCCUUCACUAGAAAAGCUUGAGGCUCUAAGAAAGUUGGACCUCAAUCGUACAGCUAUUGAAAAGGUGCCUAAAGGUUUGGAAAUGUUAUCAAAUCUAACUUAUCUUAAUUUAUGUACUGAAAGCUUAAAGGAGCUGCCAGUUGCAAUUCUACCCAGGCUUUCUUGUCUGCAAUGUUUGAUGUUAUACGUUGAAUCAAGUCGUAUAAGAAUGAAUGGAUUCGAUGCUGCCAGAUUAACGAAGCUAGAGAGAUUUGAAGGGAGAUUUACUGAGUUGAUAGACUUUAAUGCCUACACCAAGUCUAUACAAUGUCAACAGCUCACUUCUUACUUGCUUGUCAUGGCACCACUUGAAUUCAAGUUUAACGUCAAACAACGUAUAAAAGGCAUAAAUUGUGUUUACCGUUUCAAGUUGUUGAAUGUGGACAGCGACAAAGGGAGGCAGAAGGCGAUGAUGCUCGCAAGCGGGCUCCAAGGUACGGAUGCAAUUAAAUCCAUAAAAAUGCAAUAGAGUAGGGACCAUUUAGAAGGCCGAUUAAGGCCAGUGCGGGUAAGUUGGUAGUCCCAACUGUGUUGAAUGUCAUCGUGUGGCGCUGUGGAGACUGUAUCUCCACCCUGCUGCAUACCCAUGUUUUCUGACUGGACCCUUAAAGGUCCAGUGCCACUCACCGCACUCCCCUUCCCAUUAUAUCUCCUAAAGCUUUAUUAUUAUUAUUAUUAUUAUUAUUAUUAUUAUUAUUAUUGUUGGACAAGCCUCCCCCCCAUCCUCUUGUUGUUUGUUGGUUUUUUUCCCUAUUCAAGGCUUUUAGUUAAUUAUUUAGUUAUAAAUUAAUUUAUAAAAUUAUCAUAGUUAAGGUUUAGAGUAAAUACUUUACACAUAUAAUUAAUUACACAAAAUAGCUUUAUAAUUAAUUAAUUACAAAUAAGAGUAAAGAGCCAGAACAUAAUAAAUUCUAAAAUAUAAGCAUAAGAAUAAUAUAUAUAAAUAUAUAAAUAAAUCAAUAAAUAAUCGAAUAAAUUGCCAUUAAUAUAUAAUCAUUUUUUAAUCUAAAAUAAUGUGUUAACGAUUAAAAUUUUUAAGAUUUUAAAUGUUAAAUAAUGUUAUUAGGACAAAAAAAAGGUUAAAUAAUAUUAAAAUAAAUAUAAAAACAACAAAAAAAUUUAUUUUUUAAGUAUUAAUUAAUGUGAAUAUGUUAUUAUCAAUUCUUUUUUUUUAUUAAUUUCCCAUUACUUAUAGUAAAACUACUAUUUUGCAUAAAAAUAUUUUAAUAAAAUUUAUUUAUGACAUAAAUGUCAAAUUAUUUAAAAAUUACGUUACACUCAAACUUUAGUUUGCCAUUUGUAUUUGUUUUGUUAAUAUAAUUUACUCACUGCCACUUGUUUUUAUUAUCUAACUUCGUAUUAUCGAUUUUGGUUUUACUGUGUUAUAGUUAUUUGUACAUAGAGCAAUUAAACUCUCUUUUACAAACCUUUUCAAUAUCACUUAAACCAAUUAUAUAAAUUCUAAAAAAAUUAUAUAUGACUCUACCGAGUGUAUUUUAUAAAGUUGUACUAAAAAUUAUAUUAUUUAAAUUAAAAAAAUUAUAAAAUUAUGCUAAAAAUUAUAUUGUAAAAAAUAAUUUAUAUGUUACAAAAAGUCUUACAAUCUUUUUUUUUUUGAAGUUAUGACAAAAAAUUAUAUAAUUUGUAAGAAAUGUUAUGAAAGUUAUUGAACACUAUAUAAUUUUUUUAUAAAUAUUUUAUAUUAUAAAAUUUAUAUUAUUUUUUACCUGAUUUAUUUAUUAUAAUAAUAGUUAUAGCAUAAAUUUUUAUCCAAAUUAAGUUUAAGUUUUUAUAAUCAAAACUAAAUUAUAAAGUUUGUAAUAAUAAUGGUUUACUUAUUUAUUUCAACAUCAUAUAUUUACAAAUUAUGUAGUUUUCAUUCUUUAUAAGUUUAUUUAAGUUAUUAUUUAUUUGAACUAUUAAAUUAAACCAAAUAAAUAAUCUUAUAUUCACCCAUAAUCCCAUUAUGAAACAUAAUAUAAUAUUCCACAAACUAACUACACCUUUAAAUUUUUAUUUAUUUAUGCUCCUGUGCUUUAAUAAGGUAUGGUGGCAGGUGUAGUACCCCCCAAAAAAUUGAUACAAUUGGCAUUAGUAACACUAAUGAUUAAUUAUAUUAGAAAUUGAGUUUGAUGAGUAAUAUCAUUCUUGAUUGGUGAAGGUGCGGAAUCUGUUUGCUUGAUCUCUAAAGACAGGACGAUUCUGGAAGUGUCUGGUGACUCAGAAAUGGGACCCACUAAAAUUGCGGCAAAUUGGAAGAAACGAGGUAUAGAAGUGCAGCUCAUGGAUGAGCGGUGGGACCCUACCUCUCUUCCUAUGAAAUACGUGAUAUUAAGCGGGUGUCCGAUAGGACGAGAAGAUCCAGCAGAGCUCCCAAGUGACGUUAGGACUCUGAAAAUUUUUGGGUGCCACAAUAUCAGAAGCUUAAGUGAUAUGCCCUUCUUUCAACAAACAAAUGAGUUGGGGUUCUGUUCGAUUCACGAUUGUAGAGGGAUAGAAUCUGUGCUUGAUCUGUCGUCACCAUCCCAAUCAUGCACCCCAUUUGAGAACCUUGACCUCUUGUGGCUUGAAAAUUUAGAGAACCUUCAUGUGCUUGUUAAACUAGCAGAAGCAUCCGUUGUUUCCACAUUGAGUUCGCAGUCUAUUCCAGCCAUCUUUUCCCAUCUUAAAUCAUUUUAUAUUGAAGGAUGCUCAAACAUGAAGCAGCUCUUUCCNNNNNNNNNNNNNNNNNNNNNNNNNNNNNNNNNNNNNNNNNNNNNNNNNNNNNNNNNNNNNNNNNNNNNNNNNNNNNNNNNNNNNNNNNNNNNNNNNNNNACCUCAUAGUUCGUGGUUGUGGACAAAUAGAGGAAAUAAUAGGACCAAAAGAAGAGGAAGAGAAUCACAAGGGAAAUGGAACGCAAGCUCCAACAAAGUUCAGCCUUCCCAAAUUAAAGGAGUUAGAAUUGACGUGCUUACCAGAGCUGAAGAGCAUAUGCAGUUCAAAUAGGGAAAUGGUAUGCAACUCUCUUAG
rnacentral:lncRNA from 1 species